GAUGAACGCUGGCGGCGUGCUUAACACAUGCAAGUCGAACGGAAAGGCCAGUGCUUGCACUGGUGCUCGAGUGGCGAACGGGUGAGUAACACGUGGGUGAUCUGCCCUGCACUUUGGGAUAAGCCUGGGAAACUGGGUCUAAUACCAGAUAGGACCAUGCUUUGGAUGGUGUGGUGGAAAGUUUUUUCGGUGUGGGAUGAGCUUGCGGCCUAUCAGCUUGUUGGUGGGGUAAUGGCCUACCAAGGCGUCGACGGGUAGCCGGCCUGAGAGGGUGUACGGCAGCAUUGGGAAUGAGAGACGGCCCAGAGUACUGCGGGAGGGAGGAGGGGGGAGUGUGGCACAAUGGGUGCAAGUAUGAUGCAGCGACGGCGCGUGGGGGAGGACGUCGUUCGGGUGGUAAAAUCCUUACGCAACUGACGAAGCUUGUUGUGACGGGAGGUUGAGAAGAAGCACCGGCUAACUACGUG
rnacentral:rRNA from 1 species